AUCCAGCUGACGAGUCCCAAAUAGGACUUGACACGUGUCCUGGAU
rfam:Schistosoma rodhaini strain Burundi genome assembly, scaffold: SROB_scaffold0000045